CGUGAGGGAAAGGCGAAAAGAACCCCGGCGAGGGGAGUGAAAAAGAACCUGAAACCGUGUACGUACAAGCAGUGGGAGCACCUUCGGGUGUGACUGCGUACCUUUUGUAUAAUGGGUCAGCGACUUAUAUUCUGUAGCAAGGUUAACCGUAUAGGGGAGCCGCAGGGAAACCGAGUCUUAACUGGGCGUUAAGUUGCAGGGUAUAGACCCGAAACCCGGUGAUCUAGCCAUGGGCAGGUUGAAGGUUGGGUAACACUAACUGGAGGACCGAACCGACUAAUGUUGAAAAAUUAGCGGAUGACUUGUGGCUGGGGGUGAAAGGCCAAUCAAACCGGGAGAUAGCUGGUUCUCCCCGAAAGCUAUUUAGGUAGCGCCUCGUGAACUCAUCUUCGGGGGUAGAGCACUGUUUCGGCUAGGGGGUCAUCCCGACUUACCAACCCGAUGCAAACUACGAAUACCGAAGAAUGUUAUCACGGGAGACACACGGCGGGUGCUAACGUCCGUCGUGAAGAGGGAAACAACCCAGACCGCCAGCUAAGGUCCCAAAGUCAUGGUUAAGUGGGAAACGAUGUGGGAAGGCACAGACAGCCAGGAUGUUGGCUUAGAAGCAGCCAUCAUUUAAAGAAAGCGUAAUAGCUCACUGGUCGAGUCGGCCUGCGCGGAAGAUGUAACGGGGCUAAACCAUGCACCGAAGCUGCGGCAGCGACACUAUGUGUUGUUGGGUAGGGGAGCGUUCUGUAAGCCUGCGAAGGUGUGCUGUGAGGCAUGCUGGAGGUAUCAGAAGUGCGAAUGCUGACAUAAGUAACGAUAAAGCGGGUGAAAAGCCCGCUCGCCGGAAGACCAAGGGUUCCUGUCCAACGUUAAUCGGGGCAGGGUGAGUCGACCCCUAAGGCGAGGCCGAAAGGCGUAGUCGAUGGGAAACAGGUUAAUAUUCCUGUACUUGGUGUUACUGCGAAGGGGGGACGGAGAAGGCUAUGUUAGCCGGGCGACGGUUGUCCCGGUUUAAGCAUGUAGGCUGGUUAUCCAGGCAAAUCCGGAUAAUCAAGGCUGAGGUGUGAUGACGAGGCACUACGGUGCUGAAGUAACAAAUGCCCUGCUUCCAGGAAAAGCCUCUAAGCAUCAGGUAACAUCAAAUCGUACCCCAAACCGACACAGGUGGUCAGGUAGAGAAUACCAAGGCGCUUGAGAGAACUCGGGUGAAGGAACUAGGCAAAAUGGUGCCGUAACUUCGGGAGAAGGCACGCUGGUGUGUAGGUGAAGCCCCUGCGG
rnacentral:rRNA from 1 species